rnacentral:rRNA from 1 species
AUUGAACGCUGGCGGCAUGCCUUACACAUGCAAAUCGAACGGUAACGGGCCUUCGGGUGCCGACGAGUGGCGCACGGGUGAGUAAUACAUCGGAACGUGCCCGAUCGUGGGGGAUAACGAGGCGAAAGCUUUGCUAAUACCGCAUACGAUCUACGGAUGAAAGCAGGGGACCGCAAGGCCUUGCGCGGACGGAGCGGCCGAUGGCAGAUUAGGUAGUUGGUGGGAUAAAAGCUUACCAAGCCGACGAUCUGUAGCUGGUCUGAGAGGAUGAUCAGCCACACUGGGACUGAGACACGGCCCAGACUCCUACGGGAGGCAGCAGUGGGGAAUUUUGGACAAUGGGCGCAAGCCUGAUCCAGCCAUGCCGCGUGCAGGAUGAAGGCCUUCGGGUUGUAAACUGAUUUUGUACGGAACGAAAAGCCUUCUUUUAAUACAGGAGGGUCAUGACGGUACCGUAAGAAUAAGCACCGGCUAACUACGUG